UUGAAACACUGGUUCCCAUGUGAUCACCAAAGUUAAGCAACGUCAAACCUGGUCAGUAUGAGUGACCUCAUGUGAAUACUAGGUGCUGUAAG